rnacentral:rRNA from 1 species
ACCUACGGGGGGCAGCAGUGGGGAAUAUUGGGCAAUGGAGGCAACUCUGACCCAGCAACGCCGCGUGAGUGAUGAAGGUCUUCGGAUUGUAAAACUCUUUAAGUGGGGACGAAGAAAGUGACUGUACCCACAGAAUAAGCCUCGGCUAACUACGUGCCAGCAGCCGCGGUAAUACGUAGGAGGCAAGCGUUAUCCGGAUUUACUGGGUGUAAAGGGAGCGUAGACGGCUUGGCAAGCCAGAUGUGAAAGGCUGGGGCUCAACCCCAGGACUGCAUUUGGAACUGUCAUGCUAGAGUGUCGGAGGG